rnacentral:rRNA from 1 species
UACGUAGGGUGCAAGCGUUGUCCGGAAUUAUUGGGCGUAAAGAGCUCGUAGGCGGUCUGUCGCGUCGGCUGUGAAAACUCGGGGCUCAACCCCGAGCCUGCAGUCGAUACGGGCAGACUAGAGUGCUGUAGGGGAGACUGGAAUUCCUGGUGUAGCGGUGAAAUGCGCAGAUAUCAGGAGGAACACCGGUGGCGAAGGCGGGUCUCUGGGCAGUAACUGACGCUGAGAAGCGAAAGCAUGGGGAGCGAACAGG